rnacentral:rRNA from 1 species
UACGUAGGGUGCGAGCGUUUGUCCGGAAUUAUUGGGCGUAAAGAGCUCGUAGGCGGUGUGUCGCGUCGGUCGUGAAAACUUGGGGCUUAACUCUGAGCUUGCGGUCGAUACGGGCAUCACUGGAGUUCGGCAGGGGAGACUGGAAUUCCUGGUGUAGCGGUGAAAUGCGUAGAUAUCGAGAGGAACACCUGCGGCGAAGGCGGGGUUGCUGGGCUGACACUGACGCUGAACUGCGAAAGCUAGGGGAGCGAACGGG